rnacentral:rRNA from 1 species
GUGGGGAAUAUUGGACAAUGGGCGAAAGCCUGAUCCAGCCAUGCCGCGUGUGUGAAGAAGGUCUUCGGAUUGUAAAGCACUUUAAGUUGGGAGGAAGGGCAGUAAGUUAAUACCUUGCUGUUUUGACGUUACCGACAGAAUAAGCACCGGCUAACUUCGUGCCAGCAGCCGCGGUAAUACGAAGGGUGCAAGCGUUAAUCGGAUUUACUGGGCGUAAAGCGCGCGUAGGUGGUUUUGUAAGUUGGAGGUGAAAUCCCCGGGCUCAACCUGGGAACUGCCUCCAAAACUGCAUGACUAGAGUACGGUAGAGGGUAGUGGAAUUUCCUGUGUAGCGGUGAAAUGCGUAGAUAUAGGAAGGAACACCAGUGGCGAAGGCGACUACCUGGACUGAUACUGACACUGAGGUGCGAAAGCGUGGGGAGCAAACAGGAUUAGAAACCCUAGUAGUCC